rnacentral:rRNA from 1 species
UACGUAGGUGGCAAGCGUUGUCCGGAUUUACUGGGCGUAAAGAGCGCGCAGGCGGCUGAUUAAGUCGAAUGUGAAAGCCCCCGGCUCAACUGGGGAGGGUCAUUCGAUACUGAUCAACUUGAAGGCAGGAGAGAGAAGUGGAAUUCCCGGUGUAGUGGUGAAAUGCGUAGAUAUCGGGAGGAACACCAGUGGCGAAGGCGACUACCUGGCCUGUUCUUGACGCUGAGGCGCGAAAGCUAGGGGAGCAAACGGG